rnacentral:lncRNA from 1 species
AUGCUACUAAACAACAAAGAGAUUACUGAAGGAGCCAGAGAGAAAUAAAAAUACCAAGAGACCAAGGAAAAUGCAAACUUGGGGUUGCAUAACCUAUGAGACACAGCAAAAGUAGUUCUAAAAGGGAAUUUUAGAGCAAUAAAAGCUUAUCUCAGGAAACAACAACAACAAAAGUAUCAAAACAACCUAACCUUAAAGGAACUAGAGAAAGAAUAACAGGCCAACCAAAAAAGUCCCAAAAGUUAGAAGGAAGGAAAUUAUAAAGAUCAGAAAAGAAAUAAAUUAAUAUUUUUUCCUUGUCUCUGUUUAAGUAUCAACCAAAUUAAAAGCUGGUUUUUUGAAAAGAUAAAUAAAAAUGAUAAACUAUUAUCCAGACUUAUCAAGAAAAAAAGGUAUAGGACUUAAAUCAGUAAAAUUAGAAAUGAAGAAAUUACAACUGGCACCACGGAAAUACAAAAGAUCAUAAUGAAAACUACGAGCAACUUUAUGUCAAUAAAACGGACAACUUGGAAUAAAUGGACAAAUACUUAGAAAGGUACGAUCGUCCAGAACUGAACCAGAGAGAAGUAGAAAAUAUGAACAUAUGAAUUACAAGUACUGAUACUGAAUCUAUAAUUAAAAAAUAAAACAAAAAACCUCCCAACAAACAAAAGUCCAGGACUGGAUAGUUUUACAGGCCAAUUCUCUCAAAAAUUUUGAUAACACCCAUACUUCUGAAACUAUUUCCAAAAAUUUCAGAGGAAAGAAGACUUCUGCACUCAUUUUAUGAGGCCAUAAUCACCAGGAUACCAAAACCAGACAAUGAUACCACAAAAAAAGAGAAAAUUAUAGGCCAACAUCACUGAUGAACAUAGACACAAAAGUCCUCAACAGAAUAGUAGCAAAGCAAAUUCACUAAUAUAUUAAGAGGGUCACACCACCAUGAUCAAGUGGUAUUUAUUCCAGGGAUGCAAAAAUUUUUCAACAUCCAUAAAUUAGUCAGUGUGAUAUACAACAUUAACAAAUUAAAGAAUAAAAACCUAUGAUUAUCCCAAUAGAUGUAGAAAAAGCUUUUGAUAAAGUAAUUAAACACACAUUUUUGAUAAAAACUUUCCAAAAAGUGAGCCUAAAGGGAACUAUUUCAAUGUAAUAAAGGCCAUAUAUUACAAACCACAGCUAAAAUCAUAUUCAACAAUGAAGAACUGAAAGUAUUUCCUCUAAGAAUAGGAACAAGGAUGUCCAUGCUCAACAUUUUUAUUCAAUGUAGUUUUGGAAAUCCUAACCACAGCAAUCAUAGAAGAAAAAUAAAUAAAUGGAAUCCAGAGUAGAAAAGAAGUCAAAGUGUCAAUAUUUCCAGAUGACAUGGUACUCUUCAUAAAAAAUCCUAAAAACACUACCAGAAUAGUUCUAGAGCCCACGUUGGUGAAAUUGGUGCACACAAAAUUAAUAAAUACACAGAAAUAUCUCAGAUUUCUAUACACUGACAUUCAAAGAUCAGAAAGAUAUAUUAAAGAAAUAAUCUCAUUUUCCAUCACAUCAAAAAGAAUAAAAUGCCUAGGAAAAAACAUACCUAAGGAGGCUAAAGAUCUUUAAUCCAAAAACUCUGUAAGAUGCUAAUGAAAGAAACUGAAGAUGACACAGAUGGAAAGAUAUAUCAUAUUCUUGGAAGAAUCAAUAUUGUUAAAAUGACUAUGGAAAAAUAUUGUUAAAAUGACUACCCAUGGAAAUAUGGAGAUUUCAGUAUAAUCUCUCACAAAUUACCAAGGACGUUUGUAACAGAACUAGAACUAGAAACUUUAAAAUUUGCAUGGAAACACAAAAAACUUGACUAGCCAAAGCAAUCCUGGAAAGAACAGAGCUGGAGGAAUCAGGAUCCCUCAUCACAGGCUAUACUACAAAGCUACAGUCAUUAAAACAGUAUGGUACCAGUGCAAAAACAGACAUAUAGAUCAAUGGAACAGGAUAGAAAGCCCAGAAAUAAAACCAUACAUCUAUGGUCAAUUAAUAUAUACAACAAAGAAGGCAAGAAAACACAAUGGAGUAAAGAUACUUUCUUCAGUAAGUGGUACUGGGAAAACUGGACAGCUACAUGUACAAAAAUAAAAUUAUGGAGUUCUCAUUGUGGCUCAGUGGGAACAAACCCAACUACUAUCCAUGGGGAUGCAGGUUUGAUCCCUGGCCUCAGUCACUGAGUUAAGGAUCCGUUGUUGCCACAAGCUGUGGUGUAGGUCUCAGAUAUAGCUUGGAUCCCAUGUUGCAGUGGUUGUGAUGUAGGCCAACAGCUGCAGCUCCAAUUCAACCCCUAGCCUAGGAAAUUCCAUAUGCCACAGAUGUAGCCCUAAAAAGACAAGAAAGAAGAAUGCUGUUAGAACUAUUACUAUACACAAAAAUAAACACAACAUGGAUUAAAUACCUAAAUGUAAGACCAGAUACUAUAAAACUCUUACAAGAAAACAUAGGCAGAAUACACUCUGACAUAAAUGAUAGCAGUAUUUUUUGGAUAUGUCUCCUAGAGUAAUGGAAAUAAAAACAGACUGGACCUAAUUAAACUUAAAAGCUUUUGGACAGAAAAGGAACUCAAACUUUGAGUGAAAAAGACAAUCUACAAAUCUACAGACUGGGUCAAAGUAUUUGUAAACAGUGCUACUGACAGGGGAUUCAUUUCCAAAAUAUACAAGUAUCUCAUACAGCUCAAUAUCAAAACAAAAAAAAAAUCAAAAAAUGGACAGAGGGUCUAAAUAGACAUUUCUCGAAAGAAGACAUACAAAUGGCAAACAGUCACAUGAAAAACUCCUCAUCACUAAUUAGAGAAAUGCAAAUCAAAACUACAAUGGGGAGUUCCCGUCGUGGCGCAGUGGUUAACGAAUCCGACUAGGAACCAUGAGGUUGCGGGUUCGGUCCCUGCCCUUGCUCAGUGGGUUAACGAUCCAGCGUUGCCGUGAGCUGUGGUGUAGGUUGCAGACGCGGCUCGGAUCCCGCGUUGCUGUGGCUCAGGCGUAGACCAGUGGCUACAGCUCCGAUUGGACCCCUAGCCUGGGAACCUCCAUAUGCCGUGGGAGCGGCCCAAAGAAAUAGCAA